rnacentral:rRNA from 1 species
UUAGUAACGGCGAGUGAAGCGGCAAUAGCUCAAAUUUGAAAUCUGGCGCUUGCGUCCGAGUUGUAAUUUGCAGAGGAUGAUUUUGGUUAGGUACCUUCCGAGUUCCUUGGAACAGGACGCCUUAGAGGGUGAGAGCCCCGUACGGUUGGAUGCCGAGCCUUUGUAAAUCUCCUUCGACGAGUCGAGUAGUUUGGGAAUGCUGCUCUAGAUGGGAGGUAAAUUUCUUCUAAAGCUAAAUACCGGCCAGAGACCGAUAGCGCACAAGUAGAGUGAUCGAAAGAUGAAAAGCACUUUGAAAAGAGGGUUAAAUAGCACGUGAAAUUGUUGAAAGGGAAGGAUUUAUGACCAGACUUUUUCUAGGAGGAUCAUCCGGUGUUCUCACCGGUGCACUUCUUCUAGUCUAGGCCAGCAUCGACUUUCGGCGGUGGAUAAAAGCUUUGGGAAUGUGACUCCUUUCGGGGAGUGUUAUAGCCUAUUGUAUAAUACACUGCUGGGGGUCGAGGUACGCGCUUCUGCAAGGAUGCUGGCGUAAUGGUUAUCAAUCACCCGUCUUGAAACACGGACCAAGGAGUCGAACAUUUGUGCAAGUGUUUGGGUGUUAAACCCUCACGCGUAAUGAAAGUGAACGGAGGUGAGAGCCCUUACGGGUGCAUCAUCGACCGAUCCUGAUGUUUUCGGAUGGAUUUGAGUAAGAGCAUAACUGUUCGGACCCGAAAGAUGGUGAACUAUGCGUGGAUAGGGUGAAGCCAGAGGAAACUCUGGUG